rnacentral:rRNA from 1 species
AAAGGAAUAGACGGGGACCCGCACAAGCGGUGGAUUAUGUGGUUUAAUUCGACGAUAAGCGAGGAACCUUACCUGGGCUCAACUACUAGCUGCAUUGAGGCAGAAACGUCUCAAGCCUUCGAGGGUGCUAGAUAGGUGCUGCAUGGUUGCCGUCAGCUCGUGCCGUGAGGUGUACCGUUAAGUCGGGAAACGAGCGCAACCCACGUCGUAUGUUAAAUUGUACAUACGAGACUGCCUACGCAAGUAGGAGGAAGGAGUGGAUGACGUCAAAUCAGCAUGGCUCUUACGUCCAGGGCUACACACAUAAUACAAUGGCCGGCACAAUGGGUUGCUAAGUCGCGAGACGGAGCUAAUCCCAUCAAAACCGGCCCCAGUUCAGAUUGUAGGCUGCAACUCGCCUACAUGAAGUUGGAAUCGCUAGUAAACGCAUAUCAGCCACGGUGCGUUGAAUACGUUCUCGGGUCUUGUACACACCGCCCGU